rnacentral:rRNA from 1 species
UACGUAUGGUGCAAGCGUUAUCCGGAUUUACUGGGUGUAAAGGGAGCGUAGACGGCUGUAUAAGUCUGAAGUGAAAGCCCGGGGCUCAACCCCGGGACUGCUUUGGAAACUAUGCAGCUAGAGUGUCGGAGAGGUAAGUGGAAUUCCCAGUGUAGCGGUGAAAUGCGUAGAUAUUGGGAGGAACACCAGUGGCGAAGGCGGCUUACUGGACGAUGACUGACGUUGAGGCUCGAAAGCGUGGGGAGCAAACAGG